UACGGAGGGUGCAAGCGUUAUCCGGAUUUACUGGGUUUAAAGGGUUUGUAGGUGGCUUGUUAAGUCAGACGUGAAAUCCCUCAGCUUAACUGGGGAACUGCGUCUGAUACUGGCGAGCUUGAGUGCAGGAGAGGAACGCGGAAUUCCAGGUGUAGCGGUGAAAUGCGUAGAUAUCUGGAGGAACACCGGUGGCGAAGGCGGCGUUCUGGACCGCAACUGACACUGAGAAACGAAAGCCAGGGUAGCAAACGGG
rnacentral:rRNA from 1 species